GACAUAGGGUGCAAACGUUGUUCGGAAUUACUGGGCGUAAAGCGCGUGUAGGCUGCUUCGAACGUCGGAUGUGAAAGCCCUGGGCUCAACCUAGGAAGUGCAUUCGAAACUUCGGAGCUGGAGUCCUGGAGAGGAAGGCGGAAUUCUCGGUGUAGAGGUGAAAUUCGUAGAUAUCGAGAGGAACACCGGUGGCGAAGGCGGCCUUCUGGACAGUGACUGACGCUGAGACGCGAAAGCGUGGGGAGCAAACAGG
rnacentral:rRNA from 1 species